rnacentral:lncRNA from 1 species
CUAAUCUAAACUUUCUCUUUUAUUGUUAUUAGAUUAUAUUAUUUUGACUAUUGGAGACAUCUAUGAUGAUGAUGAUGAUGCUGUGACACAAAAGCGUUCUGAAACCGAAAAUUCUGUGAAUCCUAAUGAAUCUGAUAAUACAUUGGUGAUACAACCAGACUGUGGAAGUGGCAAUGAAAACUAUCAUGAACUAUUCAACAUGGAACAUGAAGUUGAAGGUGCAGAAGUCCAGCCUGAUCAAGUAGCUUCACAAAUGAACCAUCCAACACACUUCAAAAAAUAUAUUUCUGAGUCAACAGAACAGGAUUUUUGCUCAUCACCCAAAGAAGGACAACCAUCUCCUCCAAGACAGAAUAAUCUGGUUUGUAUAGUAAAGUGAAAAUAUUUCUUUUUUUUUGUUCUUCUCAUUCUACUAUAAUUCUU